AAAGUGCAACUAAUCCCCGGGUGGUUUUGGUAAUUAAUAACAACAUAUAUAUCAAUGAACUAAUAGUUUCUUGAGAAUCAUUUCAGAAAGUUCAGUGAUAUGGGUAUGGCAAGGACUGAAGAAGUGGACCCCUCAAAAUGCUAAGGCAAGCAUUGGCAAAAGCUCAAGACUCCAUUUUUGGUUUAGUGAUCCAAGAUCACAUUGAGUCUAUAGGAAAGCCAAUACUAUUAAAAGGGGAUGAGGUUAUGAUAAUGAUCUGGUUGCUCAAAGUGCUUAGUGAUAUAUCUCCUAAACUAUCAGCAACUCUCACUUCCAUAAUACACUCAUAAGUAAUCUCGGUCCCACCGAUUUUCCAAACCCAGUCACACCGAGAUGAACCACCUCAGCCAUAUAGCCAAACCCUAGAAUUCUCGGAUUUUCCGAUUCUGAACUCGGUCUCACCGAAACUUGAGUUGCCAAGCUUCUGUAACCUUCUGUCAUCAAAUCGGUGUCACCGAGAUGAUGAAGUCGGUCCCACCGAGAUUGGCAAGCUCUUGUCUUUGGACGAAUCGGACUCACCGAGUUUGUAUUUUCGGUCCCACCGAAAAUCCCAACGUUCACAUGAUUUGAACUUUCGGUCUCACCGAGUUGUCAACUUCGGUCUGACCGAGAUUGGUCAAAUGUGUGUAACGGUUGGAUUUUGUGUGGAGGCUAUAAAUACCCCUCCACCCCCUCUUCAUUCGUGGAGAGAGCCAUCAGAAAGAACUACCACUCCUACCUUACAUUUCUGAGAAGAGAACUACCUACCCUUGUGUUGAGAUCAAGUAGCUCCACUCCCACCAUAUGAAACUUGAUCUCUAGCCUUCCCAAGUUGCUUUCCACUCAAUCCUUUCUUCCACCACAGCCAAAUCAGUGAGGAGAGUUGAGUGUUGGGGAGAUUAUCAUUUGAAGCACAAGAGCAAGGAGUUCAUCAUCAUCAACACCAUCUAUUACCUUUUGGAGGGUGGUGCCUCCUAGAUUGGUUAGGUGUCGCUUGGGAGCCUCCGUCGAGAUGUGGAGUUGAACCAAGAAGUUUGUAAGGGCAAGGAGAUCGCCUACUUCAUGAAGAUCUACCCCGAGUAAGGCUAGCCCUCCGUGGGCGUAGGCCAUGAUGGCAUAGACAAGGUUGCUUCUUCGUGGACCCUUCGUGGGUGGAGCCCUCCGUGGACUCUCGCAGCCGUUACCCUCCGUGGGUUGAAGUCUCCAUCAACGUGGAUUGACGAUAGCACCACCUAUCGGAACCACGAGAAAAAAUCUCCGUGUCUCCAAAUUGCGUUUGCUCUUCUCCACCUCUCUUUACUACAUGUGCAAUUUACUUUCCGCUGCCUAUACUCUAGAAUUGCAUGUGUAGGGUGAUACUUGACUUGAUCAUCAUUGUGAACUUGCCAAAAACUUGUCUUUAUCAAAAGGCUGAAUUUUUAUAUUGUCAAGUAGUCUAAUCACCCCCCCCUCUAGACAUACUUUCGAUCCUACAAGUGGUAUCAGAGCUUUGGUCUCCAUUGUAUUGGUUUCCAUUGCAUUGGACUCCAUAAGCUUGGUUUCACAACCUAGGAGAGUAUGGCGUCUAGUGAGGGUAAUUUUCGUAGAGGUCCUUACUUUGAUGGUACAAAUUUUGCUAGUUGGAAGCAUAAAAUGAAAAUGCAUAUUCUUGGUCAUAACCCAGCCGCAUGGGGCAUUAUUUAUGUUGGUUUGCAAGGUGAGUUCUUCGAGGAAGGAAAAGUUCCGGAUCACGAAGCUACAACGGAUGAAUUGCGGAUGUUGCAAAACAAUGCUCAAGCUUGUGACAUUCUAUUCAAUGCUUUGUGUCCCGAGGAGUUCAACAAAAUCAGCCGUCUUGAGAAUGCAAAAGAGAUUUGGGAUACUUUGGUUGAAAUGCACGAAGGUACCGAGUCCGUGAAGGAAUCAAAGCUAGAUAUUCUUCAAGGUCAACUUGACAAGUUCAAGAUGAAGGAUGGUGAAGGAGUCGCUGAAAUGUACUCUAGGCUUGCGCUCAUCACAAAUGAGAUUGCCAGCUUAGGAAGCGAAGAAAUGACCGACCGAUUCAUCAUCAAAAAGAUUCUCAGAGCUUUGGAUGGAAAGUAUGACACCAUGUGCACUUUGAUCCAAAUGAUGCCAAACUACAAGAAUCUCAAGCCAACCGAAGUCAUUGGAAGAAUUGUAGCUCAUGAAACAACUCAAGAAGAUCAUAGAGAGCUCCUAAGAUCUCAUGAGAAGCUACGCUUCGAGAAGCUCAAUCUAGAGCAAGAACAUGAGUUCCUAAAAGCAAUCAAUGACGAUCUUCGAAAGAAGAGUUCUUCAUAUCUUGCCAACCGACUUCUCUUGUCUAAUUUCUUGCCACCUAUUAAAACUAAGCAUGACAAGCAUAAGAAAAAUUCUUCAUCUAGAAGCAACAAUAUUGGUUCUAGUAGUUCUCUUGAUUCCACUAACAAUGUUUCAAGCCAAGUUACACUUGAGCAAGAAAAUAGUUUAUUGAAAGGGAUUAUAGAGAAAGGUGUCUACAAAAGCCUUGCCGGAAGCAAGAACUUUGAGGAAAUUAUUCGCAAGCAAAGGAGGCACCGGAUGAAUCAAGGAAUUGGUUUUGAGCGAAAGUUCAACGCCGAGGGUGUUGAAUGGGAAGAAGGUCAAUAUACCACUCCAAAGUUUGUUUCUCAAAAGGAGAAGUACGAUCCUACUUCUUCCAAUGUGGAACAAGCUCAAGAUGAUCUUCCACCACAAGACCACAAGCUAAAAGACAAGGACAAGCUUCAAGAGGAGAAUGAUGCAUUUAUUGAAGCACCUAAAGCCAUGGUCAAGUGGGUUCCCAAGGAAACGUCAAGUUCUACUUCGUCAAGCUCAACUACAACCCCAAGGAUUCCCAUCAAGAUGAUGUGGAUCCCGAAGAAGAAGAACUAGAGAGUUCUUGAGGGUGACUCCGCCAACAUACUUCACUCAUAUUCAUCUUGGCAAGAACUUGUGCAAUCAACUUCCACAUCUUGCACUAGUUCAUGGAGUCACAAACCCUCUUGUUGGUAAGUCAAGGGACAAGGUAAUCAUAGCUCUCAUGGACAUCAUCCAUUGUGUACUUCAUUCUAUGUCCAUGGAUAUCCUUGUUUGUUCCUUGUGGGACUAACCCAUGUAGGUAUUGAAAGUGCCCGAAUCCAAAGGCUUGCUCCCAACUCUUGAUGAUCUUCAUCAACAUUGAGCAUCCACAUCUUCAACAUCUACAUGAAGUCUUCUACGCAACCCAAGGUUAGUUUGACCCUUUAAAAGGGGUUCUCACAUCUAGGGGGAGCUUUGCUCUAAAGAAUUGAGCUAAAGCAUCUUCAAAUGAUGUGAACACAUCAAUGCUUUAUGUAAAAGUGGUAACCCCACUUGUGCUUAAACGAUGAGUAUGACCUAUGAUCAAAUGUUCUCAUUUGACUCCUAAGUCAAUAUACUCAUAUAUAGAUGACCUAGUCAUCGACAAAUUGUGUGAUAGUAGCUAGAGUUUUGAUUGUGCAUGUUUGACACAUAUUUCAUUUGCUAUCUUAUUGUGUGAGCAUGUUGGAUGCAUGAUUUAAUCCAUUCGAGGACAUCCAUUUGUUGCUUUGGUCUUUUUGAUUUUUUUUCUGACCAAAUGGAUGGACAAGAAUGCCUAAGUACCUCCCCUAGCUAUCUAUGCUUUCUUGUCUCAAAUUCUAUUCAUGCUUACAUCACAAACUUUGAACAAGUCAUUUUCGGACCCUCCGAGUGAGGAGCACUCGGAGCCACCGAUCCGUCAAGGGCUAACUUCCAAAACCUUCUAAGUGAUUUCGGUCAAACCAACCCACUCAAACUCGGUCAAACCGAAAGCAUUUGGAUUGAUCUAGGUUUUCACCUCGGUGAAACCGAGUUGUGAAUUUCGGCGUGACCGAAGUGCAUAACUGCCCUGCAGUUAUCCAUCUCGGUGCCACCGAGUUUUACAACUCGGUCCCACCGACAGCAAAGGGGUAUAUAUACUCCGAGGGCCGCGCGUUGAUUUCUACUUCAAAACGCUUCGCCCCCACACCCCUUGCUGCCGUCGCCUGGUCUCCGGAUCGUCUCCGUCGUCGCCUGUGCGCCCUCGCCGCAGGUCUCCGUCGCCGUCAACAGACAUCUUCUCCGCGCCGUUGCCGCCGUAGAGGAACUCCACCAAGUUAGGGUGAGUUUCGAUCCCACUCGUGCUCUCAUCUCCGAUUCAAUGCACGUUUGGUUUGCCUGUAAUCUUUCCACGAUUGAAAUCUUCCUGAACACAAGAUUAGUUCCUUUGAACGAAAUUCGAGUAAAAGUUUUAGGGUUAGGUUUCCGCCGAACACAUCUCGGUGAGACCGAUUUUACAUUCUCGGUAUGACCGAUUUGGCCUCUGGCCAUUGCACUGCACCUUUCGGUCCAACCGAGUUGUGCAAAUCAGUGUGACCGAAAUGAGGAUUUAGUGAAACCCUAGUGUUUUCGGCAGGACCGAAACCCACUUCGGUCCAACCGAAAGUGGUGUGAAUGCUUCUGUUUGAACACUUCGGAUUCACCGAAUUUUAAACUCGGACUAACCGAAAUGUCUUCUGUGAAAACCUAAUACUAGAAUUUGAACUCAUUCUGUUUGCAAAAUCUUCUGCAGUUUGUGAUAACUCUUCUACUCUGCCUACACCUUAUCUAUUCACAGGUUGUCAGCCAUGUCAGAUGCCAGUGACAGCCAGAACAGGUCUGAGUCACCUAUUGCUGAUAUUCCAGAGGCAGGCACUAGUCCUGAACCCAGCAGCUCAUCAGAUGAUGGUGAGAGGAGCACACCAAGUGGUUUGCCCCCUGCAGCCACCAGGGCCAGAAAGAAGAGGAACUCUGAUGAAGAAGAUUCUGAUUUCAUUGUUGAGGAAGAGGUCUCCUCCAAGCCAAAGAGAAAGGUUGUUGCCAAAGAGCCUCAAGGGCAGCAAACCAAGAAAGGCACCAGAAAAGUGAAGCAGUCCACUGUUGCCAAAAAGCUGAGUAUGGAAGAGGAAACUACAAGCAAGGUGAAGAAAACUUCCAAGAGGAAGAGGAUUGUGCAUGAUGAUGCAGCAGAAGAGGAUGAGGAUGAGGAAGCACCCCAGCCUCCUCAGAAGCCUAAGCUCAUGGGUGAUGCCAUCAGGGCUGGAGCCACUUCAAAGUCCAAGCCAUCUACUCCAGUCAAGGCAGCUCCAGCAAAGCCUGCUGCCAAGCCCAAGAAGACCGUCAGAAACAUUCUAGCGUCUGAAAAGAACAAGGAUGAUGUGCCACCAGCUGUGUCAGAUGAUGAGGCACCAGUUUUGCUGAAACUUCGUCCAAAACUGCCACUUCACAAUGAUGCUCAUCCUCAAGCUGAAAACAUGAAGGAAAGGAAGGAUAGAGGUCUCAGGCUAUGGAGACAAGCUGAUCCAUAUGCUGUGAGGAGAAGAACUGCUGUUGAUCCCAGAUUUCACACCAGAGAGCAGCAGGACUUCUAUGAGACUGUGCUGAUGGACAAGAAGCCCAUAGUGGCAGACACCAGAUUUGUUGAUUGGAAAUACAUUGACAGUGAAGAGCACAGAGACUUCUUUCCACAUGUGCAUGAGAGCUUCACUGCAUGUGGUGUUGCAGACUUCGUAGGUCAAAAGCUGACAAGUUGGAAUGAUGAAAUGAUUAUGCAAUUCUAUGCCACGGCUCAUUUCUAUCCAGAUGAAAAGAUCACAUGGAUGACUGAAGGCCAAAGAUUCUCUUCAACUGUAGAAGAAUGGGCAGAACUGCUGAAUGCUCCAGUGUAGAGAGAGGAUGAUGUUGAUGUCUAUGGCAUUCCCAAGAAGAACCAUGAAUCUAUGAAGAAUAUGUACAAGGAGGUUCCAGCUAAGGAUUUAGCAAUCUGGAAGCUUGGCUCAGUGUAUUAUCUCCAGGCAGGUCUACCUACCACAAACACUAUUCUGAGGCAUACCUUGAUGCCCAAGUCUGGAGAUCAUCGCAUGAUCAGAGGGUACUCUAUCAACAUGCUGCAUAUACUUGAUGAGAAGUCACCGUUCAAGGUGAUGGACUUGAUAGUUGAGACUAUUAAGAGGACUACAGCUGACCAGAAAAGGUCGUGUGGAUUUGCCCCGCAUAUUCAGAUGCUUAUCAAUGCCAAGUUUGGCACGGGCACAUUCUUGUUGGAUAGAGAACACCUACCACUGCAGCCUGAGCAUGAGGACAAUGAUGUUGUGAUGGAUGAGGAGGAUCCAACUUCUGUUGAAGGUCAAGCAAAGAUUGAAGCUGCCAAGAAAGCCAAAGCUGAGAAGGAAGCAGCAGCAGCAGCAGCUAAACCAAAGAGUGUUGGAGAGCAGCUCCUUGAAGCUACCCAAAGGAUUGAACAACGCCUGGCCAGCAUUGUACAGUCUCAGGAGAGCCUUGAGAGGAUUGUUGAAGACAAGAUCCAUGCUCUGGAUGUGAAGCUGACUGAAGUGCAAGUAACUGUCAACAAGCUUGAGGCAGAUAUCGAGGAAGCAAAGAGGGAGAAGGAAGAGCUCAUGCAUGAGAUGCAGGAUGACCUAGUCCAGGAUGCUUAUGAACAGACUGCUCCGGUUCCCACAGGACCCCGAUCAGCUGCUAUUCCAGUGACAGACACCAGGACUACAGCCUCAGCACCUCCCACAGCUCCAUCAGUUGCUCCAGCUCCAGCUCCAGUGACCACUCCUCCAGCUCCACAGACAUCAGCAGAAGUCUUCGCCGAUGCAGCCAUCUCAACUCCAAUAUCAACCCAGACAGGAGCCGCCAGCAGAGUCCCUAGUGACGUUUAGCUCUAUACUUUUCGAACUUUUUGGUAACUUGUUGCCAAAGGGGGAGAAAUUGUAUAGAUCAUAGGACUUCGAGAGAGAGAGUGCUGUUGUUUUUUUUGCGCUUUUGCUCUUUCGUUCUUUUGCGGUCUUUUUGAGAUUCUUUUGGUUUUCAUGACAUUCUGUGUGUUUGAUACUACGUUUGAUGAGUGCUUCGUCGUACUAUGCCUUAAUGUGUGCUUAAUGCUUAUCAUAUGCUAUUCCUAUCUUGUAUGACCAUUUACUCAUGUCUUGGUGAUUGGGUGCAUGCUAUUCAUUCUUAUCAUUUUGUGCGCUCCACCAAGAUGUAUGUGACAUGGAAGAGUGACCCAUGAUCCUAAUCGAUUGUGCAUUUGCAUUCAAACGCAAAUCUUAAAUAAUGCACAAAUUUAGGGGGAGCUCUUGCUUAUCACAUACUUCUCAAAGCGACGAUAUUAUUCAUUGAUUAUAUCCUUUGUCGAAGCUUUGAUCUAUAUGUUGUCAUCAAUUACCAAAAAGGGGGAGAUUGAAAGUGCAACUAAUCCCCGGGUGGUUUUGGUAAUUAAUAACAACAUAUAUAUCAAUGAACUAAUAGUUUCUUGAGAAUCAUUUCAGAAAGUUCAGUGAUAUGGGUAUGGCAAGGACUGAAGAAGUGGACCCCUCAAAAUGCUAAGGCAAGCAUUGGCAAAAGCUCAAGACUCCAUUUUUGGUUUAGUGAUCCAAGAUCACAUUGAGUCUAUAGGAAAGCCAAUACUAUUAAAAGGGGAUGAGGUUAUGAUAAUGAUCUGGUUGCUCAAAGUGCUUAGUGAUAUAUCUCCUAAACUAUCAGCAACUCUCACUUCCAUAAUACACUCAUAAGUAAUCUCGGUCCCACCGAUUUUCCAAACCCAGUCACACCGAGAUGAACCACCUCAGCCAUAUAGCCAAACCCUAGAAUUCUCGGAUUUUCUGAUUCUGAACUCGGUCUCACCGAAACUUGAGUUGCCAAGCUUCUGUAACCUUCUGUCAUCAAAUCGGUGUCACCGAGAUGAUGAAGUCGGUCCCACCGAGAUUGGCAAGCUCUUGUCUUUGGACGAAUCGGACUCACCGAGUUUGUAUUUUCGGUCCCACCGAAAAUCCCAACGUUCACAUGAUUUGAACUUUCGGUCUCACCGAGUUGUCAACUUCGGUCUGACCGAGAUUGGUCAAAUGUGUGUAACGGUUGGAUUUUGUGUGGAGGCUAUAAAUACCCCUCCACCCCCUCUUCAUUCGUGGAGAGAGCCAUCAGAAAGAACUACCACUCCUACCUUACAUUUCUGAGAAGAGAACUACCUACCCUUGUGUUGAGAUCAAGUAGCUCCACUCCCACCAUAUGAAACUUGAUCUCUAGCCUUCCCAAGUUGCUUUCCACUCAAUCCUUUCUUCCACCACAGCCAAAUCAGUGAGGAGAGUUGAGUGUUGGGGAGAUUAUCAUUUGAAGCACAAGAGCAAGGAGUUCAUCAUCAUCAACACCAUCUAUUACCUUUUGGAGGGUGGUGCCUCCUAGAUUGGUUAGGUGUCGCUUGGGAGCCUCCGUCGAGAUGUGGAGUUGAACCAAGAAGUUUGUAAGGGCAAGGAGAUCGCCUACUUCGUGAAGAUCUACCCCGAGUAAGGCUAGCCCUCCGUGGGCGUAGGCCAUGAUGGCAUAGACAAGGUUGCUUCUUCGUGGACCCUUCGUGGGUGGAGCCCUCCGUGGACUCUCGCAGCCGUUACCCUCCGUGGGUUGAAGUCUCCAUCAACGUGGAUUGACGAUAGCACCACCUAUCGGAACCACGAGAAAAAAUCUCCGUGUCUCCAAAUUGCGUUUGCUCUUCUCCACCUCUCUUUACUACAUGUGCAAUUUACUUUCCGCUGCCUAUACUCUAGAAUUGCAUGUGUAGGGUGAUACUUGACUUGAUCAUCAUUGUGAACUUGCCAAAAACUUGUCUUUAUCAAAAGGCUGAAUUUUUAUAUUGUCAAGUAGUCUAAUCACCCCCCUCUAGACAUACUUUCGAUCCUACAA
rnacentral:lncRNA from 1 species